UACGGGGGGGGCAAGCGUUGUUCGGAAUUACUGGGCGUAAAGGGCGCGUAGGUGGCCUUCUAAGUUGAACGUGAAAUCCCUGGGCUCAACCCAGGAACUGCGUCCAAGACUGGGAGGCUUGAAUCCGGGAGAGGGAUGCGGAAUUCCAGGUGUAGCGGUGAAAUGCAUAGAUAUUGUCAAGAACACCAAUUGCGAAGGCAGCUUACUAAAUUAUAACUGACGCUGAGGCACGAAAGUGUGGGUAUCAAACAGG
rnacentral:rRNA from 1 species